GGCUUGAGCCACCGCGCCCGGCAUGCAUCCAGUCUUUUACCACUCAGCAAGAUAUUAGUUGUGGAUUUUUGUAGAUGCCCUUUAGCUGGUUGAGGAAGUUCCCUUCUAUUCUUAGUUUUCUGACUGGUUUUACCAUGAAAGAAUGUUGGACUUUUUGAAAUGCCCUUUAAAUUGUUUGCCAAAUUAUUCUUACCUGAUACUGUCAUUAUAAUGCAUAGUUACAGCCACCUCUCCAGGUAACUCUAAGCCUGAGAUGACAGGGUCAACUCAUUAUACAUCUUUGUAUUUUCAGAGCCAUGAAUGGUGCCUGUCACUUAAUAGAAGUACAAUAAAUGCCUAAAGAAUAAACCAACAAAUAAAUGCUACCAGGCACUGUUUGAUAGGCUUAAUGCCAAAUAAGUGAUGUGGAGUGGAUAACAAAGAAGAAACUAGAAGAAGUGAGCCAUUGUCCUAGCUUAAAUACUCUCAAACUGGCUUGGUUUAUGACAUGCAGAGGUACUUACUCUCAUGAAGGUGUUGCCUCCAUGGCAGCUGACACAAUCCCCUUCCAGGGUCUAGGCCUUCUGGUGCAAAUUCCCACACCCAAACCCAUAGAGGCCAGAGAGCUGGCACCAGGGACUGUCAGUCUCCCAGUAGAUAGAAAAAUCCUGGAGCUGGUGAUCAACUUCCCGAUAAGAUCUCAGGAGUUGGAUGAGUGGACUCAAGCAUGCAGACUAAGAGGCGAAAUGGUGGAGGUUAACUGAUAUGUGACUUUACUGGAACACUGGACU